AUAAGAACCAUAAAAAAACCCCAAAUCUAUAAACUAAACCCCAUUUCCGUGUUCUUUUGCUCGACAAAACCGAAACCCCAAAUCCCCAUAUUCUCAAUCUCUCUCUCCUCUGUUCGCCGCGGCAUCUUAUGGUCACCGGAGCCGCGCCUUUCUCGCCGGCGUUCUUGCUGCGCGUGUGGUGCUGCUCGCAAGCCACCACACCGUUGCUCUCUCUCUCCUCCCAGUGAACCUUCGAGUUCUCUCACUCACCGUCGCCUGCGCGUCGCCGGCGAUUCUUCGAGGCUCGCCGGAGUUUUCCCCCUUGUCAGCGCCGUCUGUUCUCGUUUUCUCUUUCAUCCUCCUGAUUCGUGCUGCUGUUGUUCGCGGUUGGUGGUUCUUUCUUCGCGCCACCUUGCCGUCGUCAGUGCUACUGUGUGCUUGGUGCUGCCGCCUAUCUAAGGUGAUCUUGUUGGUGAUUUUGUUGUUAUUAUUGUUGCUGCGUUGUUGCCGAAGCUUCGAAAAUCUCCCUCGACCUUUCUAUUUCUCGGUUCUUCUCUGUCUUCGCUGCUCCUAAUAGAGCAGAGUUUUCCUAAAUGUUUCAGGUUGAAGCCGAAAGUUAACCUUUGCAAGUUGAAGCUGAUACAAGCUGGAGUAGUAUUAUAGUUGCUAUCGAAGUGAGGACGCUUGACUUUGUAAUAGUUAGUUGUUUAUAAUCUAUAGUUAUUUCUACAUUUAAGAGUCGCUAGUUAGUGCUCCUGAUUCUCUAUUGGUUGUUGCUCCGCGAAAGCGUUGAGAUUGUUGAGCUUUGGGAUUUGGAUAUAUUUUAUAAAUUGAAUUUGCAAACAGGUUUAUAUCA